AGAGUUUGAUCAUGGCUCAGAUUGAACGCUGGCGGCAGGCCUAACACAUGCAAGUCGAGCGGAAACAGGAAGGUGCUUGCACCUUUGCUGUCGAGCGGCGGACGGGUGAGUAAUGCCUAGGGAACUGCCCAGUCGAGGGGGAUAACAGUUGGAAACGACUGCUAAUACCGCAUACGCCCUACGGGGGAAAGGAGGGGACCUUCGGGCCUUUCGCGAUUGGAUGUACCUAGGUGGGAUUAGCUAGUUGGUAAGGUAAUGGCUUACCAAGGCGACGAUCCCUAGCUGGUCUGAGAGGAUGAUCAGCCACACUGGAACUGAGACACGGUCCAGACUCCUACGGGAGGCAGCAGUGGGGAAUAUUGCACAAUGGGCGAAAGCCUGAUGCAGCCAUGCCGCGUGUGUGAAGAAGGCCUUCGGGUUGUAAAGCACUUUCAGCGAGGAGGAAAGGUUGUAGUUUAAUAAACUACAGCUGUGACGUUACUCGCAGAAGAAGCACCGGCUAACUUCGUGCCAGCAGCCGCGGUAAUACGAGGGGUGCAAGCGUUAAUCGGAAUUACUGGGCGUAAAGCGUACGCAGGCGGUUUGUUAAGCAAGAUGUGAAAGCCCCGGGCUCAACCUGGGAAUUGCAUUUUGAACUGGCAAACUAGAGUCUUGUAGAGGGGGGUAGAAUUUCACGUGUAGCGGUGAAAUGCGUAGAGAU
rnacentral:rRNA from 1 species